GAUGAACGCUGGCGGCGUGCCUAAUACAUGCAAGUCGAGCGAACGGACGAGAAGCUUGCUUCUCUGAUGUUAGCGGCGGACGGGUGAGUAACACGUGGAUAACCUACCUAUAAGACUGGGAUAACUUCGGGAAACCGUAGCUAAUACCGGAUAAUAUUUUGAACCGCAUGGUUCAAAAGUGAAAGACGGUCUUGCUGUCACUUAUAGAUUGAUCCGCGCUGCAUUAGCUAGUUGGUAAGGUAACGGCCUACCAAGGCAACGAUGCAUAGCCGACCUGAGAGGGUGAUCGGCCACACUGGAACUGAGACACGGUCCAGACUCCUACGGGAGGCAGCAGUAGGGAAUCUUCCGCAAUGGGCGAAAGCCUGACGGAGCAACGCCGCGUGAGUGAUGAAGGUCUUCGGAUCGUAAAACUCUGUUAUUAGGGAAGAACAUAUGUGUAAGUAACUGUGCACAUCUUGACGGUACCUAAUCAGAAAGCCACGGCUAACUACGUG
rnacentral:rRNA from 1 species